GAACCCAUGACCACCUGACUCCCAAACCCACGGUCUAACCGCUGCGCCACGCUGCUUCCCCACAGGUGCCCCGUCAGGCCCGGGGCAGAUCCCUCGGCCGUCAAGUUUGCCGACCCGGCCUUUGGAAAGCGAAGAACUGAGCAGGCUGGGGGUGCUUGAAUAGUGCCUCAUUCUACCGAUCAUUCCCAACUCCCAACUAAUUAUCCGAAGGACUCGGCCCGGUCCCGAGAAACACACCCACGGCCAAAGAUUUUAGGCGGCGACAAGAGAGCCGUAGUUUGGCGUGGAGUUCUGCCACAGAGGCCGCCCAGCGCCGCGCGGAUAAACAGUCGAGGCCGCCGUCUGCGGACGAGGACGCGCGUGGCGCCGGGCCGGCUUCAAGCCGAGACCGAGCUCGGUUCUGUUCUCAUUGUGGAGUCCGGGGCCCAGCUCGGAGGGCCCAUCUGACUUCCCAAGUAGUUUCAGUGCCAACCUCAACAUCAGAUGGCCAGGCAGGAGGGCCAACAAGCGCGUUCUGGUUGGCUGCCAGUCCGUCGGCGGGGAGGCAUCCCUCCCCGGCUGGGCGGGACACUCGGGACCCACCCCUGCCCCCAGAAAAGCCCGUUCCAGGCUCUUAAGAACACCUUGUCACUCAGAGGCCAAAGGGGAAAAACAAUUCCAGGGGCUCCACGGAGCCAAGCACCCGGACAGCCACCACCCAACGGCCCACACGCACCUACCCAGCCCGAAAGACGCGGUCUCGGCCUCGCUCUGCACCGACGCGCAAGGGACGCGCUGCAGACACGGAAGGAGACCGUAGAGAAACACUUCCUAAGUACAGUCACUACCCUCAGGAACUCCUUAUGUUGCCUUGAAACAAAGUUGACGGCUGCGUACUCCAACAAGGCGGCAAACACAAAGAGAAGGCACACUGCCAUCCAGAUGUCUAUCGCUUUUACGAAAAGGGCCUUUCCGAGGCCCCUCGACGGGAACCUGUCUGCUGAUCUUCGCCGGCAGAACGGACCCCAGGAAGCGGCAAAUGCCAAAAUGUGGAGAACACAGGCCACGUGACAACUCAGAGAUGAGGGAACUGAGGCACAGAGAAGUUAAGUGACUUGCCC